CGCUUGGGCUGAAUUAGUGAUUGGCUCGGGCAUCAUUAAACUGGAGUAACAUUAUGUCACUAAAUGCAGAAACUAAAGCUCAGAUCGUAAAAGAUUUCGCACGUGCAGAA
rfam:Idiomarina sp. A28L contig00002, whole genome shotgun sequence.